rnacentral:siRNA from 1 species
CACAGAUACGACGUCUUUUAAGU